rnacentral:lncRNA from 10 species
CACUUGCAGUUAAUUUUGUGCUGGCUUUAUCUGGGUCUGCCCUUCUGUUGUGAUUAAUGAUAGUCAAAUUGUCAAACUGCUUUUAUUGAAAAUAUGAUUCCUUUUUUUCUGGAUUCCAAUGGCUCUUUUUGGCACAAAUCAGAAAAAGCUUCUAGAAGAGCUAUCGAGAUAUUUAAUGAAUUUGUUACUUUCCAUUAAGUCACUCUAUAACCACCUGACUGAUGUUGAAAUGACUGACUGCUUCUCUUACUGUUGAAAGCUGAAAUGCCAAUAUCUGAGCCAGAAGAGUAUUUUUCUUCUAGACCCAUUGCCCCAAGACGAGGGUGACAGAAAUCUGGAACCAAACUCAUUCCAACUUCUGCAGCCAAACACAGAAGUGCCUACAUAUUCGCAGUCAGAAAUGUCAAGCUAAACCCAUCCUCAAUAAAGCAAACUGUAGAUACUU